UUUGAAAAGAGAGUUAAAAAGCACGUGAAAUUGUUGAAAGGGAAGCGCUUGCAACCAGAGCGGUUUGGAGGGGUUCAGCCUUUGGCGCACUCCCCUCCAGUCAGGCUAGCAUCAGUUCGGCCGGUCGGAUAAAGGUCGUGGGAAUGUGGCACCCUCGGGUGUGUUAUAGCCCAUGGCACAAUACGGCCUGGCUGGACUGAGGUCCACGCUUCGGCAAGGAUGCUGGCGUAAUGGUUGUCAGCGGCCCGUCUUGAAACACGGACCAAGGAGUCUAACAUCUGUGCGAGUGUUCGGGUGUCAAACCCGUGAGCGUAAUGAAAGUGAACGGAGGUGGGAGCCCUCGGGUGCACCAUCGACCGAUCCUGAUGUCUUCGGAUGGAUUUGAGUAUGAGCAUAGCUGUUGGGACCCGAAAGAUGGUGAACUAUGCGCGGAUAGGGUGAAGCCAGAGGAAACUCUGGUGGAGGCUCGCAGCGGUUCUGACGUGCAAAUCGAUCGUCAAAUCUACGCAUAGGGGCGAAAGACUAAUCGAACCAUCUAGUAGCUGGUUCCUGCCGAAGU
rnacentral:rRNA from 1 species